rnacentral:rRNA from 1 species
UCUAUGGAGAGUUUGAUCCUGGCUCAGGACGAACGCUGGCGGCGUGCUUAAUACAUGCAAGUCGAGCGAGAACCCAGAGAGGGGUAACCCUUUCUGGGGGACAGCGGCGAACGGGUGAGUAACACGUGGGCAACGUGCCCCAGACACCGGGAUAACAGUGGGAAACCGCUGCUAAUACCGGAUGAUCCCUAACCACCGCAUGGUGGACAGGGCAAAGCUCCGACGGUCUGGGAUCGGCCCGCGUCCUAUCAGCUUGUUGGUGAGGUAACGGCUCACCAAGGCAGUGACGGGUAGCUGACGUGAGAGCGUGGACAGCCACACUGGGACUGAGACACGGCCCAGACUCCUACGGGAGGCAGCAGUAGGGAAUCUUGCACAAUGGGCGAAAGCCUGAUGCAGCGACGCCGCGUGUGGGAUGAAGGCUUUCGGGUUGUAAACCACUUUCAGCGGGGACGAAGCCUCACGGUGACGGUACCCGCAGAAGAAGGUCCGGCCAACUACGUGCCAGCAGCCGCGGUAAUACGUAGGGACCGAGCGUUGUCCGGAUUUAUUGGGCGUAAAGCGCGCGUAGGCGGCCGUCCACGUCGAAUGUGAAAGCUCAGAGCUCAACUCUGAGAGGCCAUUCGAUACGGGACAGCUAGAGGCAGCUAGGGGAGAGUGGAAUUCCUGGUGUAGCGGUGAAAUGCGCAGAUAUCAGGAGGAACACCGGUGGCGAAGGCGGCUCUCUG